AAAGGGAGACACAGAGGAUGAAGACAGAGGGUGAGAGCAACAGAGAAAUUGGCAUGAGAGGUGCUUGCAAGACAACCCUCCAUUUUUUUGUACUCAUUAACAUUUACACAUUCGCGUUGUGUUCGAGGUGUUAAUUCUGUUUUCUGUUUAAUCUUGUUUAUGUGAUUUGUGAUAAAGUGCUACCAUUCUGCAGUGUCUAACCUCACACAUUACAGAGGAAACCACUAAGAGAGUGGAAGAGGAAAGAGAAUGAGACAGGUGGUUUAGAAAGAGAGAGAGAGAGAAGAAGUGAAGUAGGGUGGAGAGUAAAGAUGGAAGAAAUCAGGAGCGGAAAGACUGGGAGAAAGAGAAUAGAGGAAGUGCUUUGAUAUACAUGUAACAAACUCCAGAGACGUUUUUGACUCUAGAAGCAUGCUGAGAAAAAGUUUGUCUCAAAUGACUCACUUCACCGAGCUGUGUGCUAACACGUCAUGGAGAAAGACAUCUAAUAUGGACACAGAUGGAGUAAGAAGGGAAAGCAGCAAGGAGAGAUGUAAUGAGAGGAAUGAGAAGGAAGAUAAAAUUGGAGCUUGGUAGGGAAAGAAAAAUUGGCAUCCAUUACAGUACGUCUCCUAUUAUAGUUACAGUGGGUCAUGUGUUUUUGUUUCUGGGUUAUAAACUGCUCUGGUGAGGUUAACUGAGGCCAAAUUGCUCUAAUAAAUGUGAAAACUAUACUGUAUCAGUGUCUCUGUUUUUUCUAUCCCUAACUGGAUUUUAUUGGAGAGACAGACGAACCCCCUGCUGCUGCAGUUAAGGUCACCUGCCACAUCACCAUGGAGCUGAGAGUCAAACAUGGAAACUACCCUCAAAACAACUCUAGCAGAUACUUUUGGCAGCUGAGGCUCAAAAGAUGGAUGUCCAUAAAGCUUCCAUAAACACACCAGCAUCGAUGAGUAUUCGAAACAGACCCCACUGCAAUUCCACUUCUCCACAAUGAUAAGAGGAGGCGGAAUGACAGGCAGGUGGAGCAGAGAGAUAAGAUGACAUCUGACAAAAAGCUGUGACAUGUAUUACAACACAUGAUGUGCCCCGCAGCAGGAAAAGAUCAGUGUCGAUUGUCAGUCAGUCACCCACACUCAUCCUGAGACACGAAUCGUCCCCAGCUGCCCUGCAGCAGUGGCGGCCAAACAGGAGACCUGGUACCUUUAUGGUUUCCACGUGGGGAUUCCAGAGGCCCACUCUCUGCAGUUUAGGAAGUAAUUUAAUUCCACUAAUGUUUUGUUUUCAAUAAGCUAACAGUUCUUAUUUACUUUGGAUGAUAAAACAAUCUCAGCGCAAACAGGAAAUAUGUUUCAAAUCAGAUAAACUGGAAUAUUUUCCUCAGAUAGGAGUCUCUCUAGGAUGAAGUCUGGGCUUGCACAUCUCUCUGUGGGGGGAGUGACAAAGUGAAGCAACUGCUGACCUAUCAGAGGGUUAUUUAAACAGGAUUAUCCAGUUAGCGUGAGAUCUGUGAAGGAGGAUUAGUCAAUGUGUCGCCUGACUUUGUAAUGAUUCUCAAAUUAAACUCAGAUGCAUUUCUGUGUGAAAUGUUUGGCAGCAAAGGUUUCACUAUGAGCCUUUUAGCUCUACGAGUUACCCUAGCUCUUCAAAAAGCUCUCAAGGUGAGAAUUGCUCCUAAUUCACAGACAUUAGCUCAGUCACACUAAACAUUAUAAAAGCAGUGAGUGUCUGCUGUUAAAAGUCCCCCUUCACUGAAAAAUGUGUUUUGCUCAUACUGACUUUACCUGGAUGUGUGACCUUCACUGUGCAGAAUGGUUUCAUUUAUGAGAAGAGUUUGAUACUAGAUACAUUCUUCUGUGCCUGCCUUAAAUCAGGGUUUAACACAUGGACGCACAAGCAUGACAGAACAUCUGGAUGCAAAUCAUGGUCCAGGUGUGAUAUGUACAUUUGUAGAAGGGCAAAUAAAGUGAUAAUGUCGUGUUUUAAAUGCAGCAUGAGACAUUUUGUGUUCAGAGGUUAAACUUUUGAAACAAAAAAUAUUUGCCUAUUUAUAGAUGAUGAUUUUUUAAUGGAUAACAAAAUGUUAUUCAAAACUAUCUAUUUGUGUAUGUAUUGAAUAAUAACUGUGUGAGACAGAUACGAUUAAAGGUACACUGAUGACCGCUGACCCUUUAAAGGUGCAAUAGUUGCUACCGCCACAUAGCCAAUGUUAGCAUUAACAGCUGUUUACUCUAGAAGACAUAUUGCGAGUUCAGCAUCAAGCUUUAAUUCUUUACUCUGCUUGCCUCAGUGGAAAGCACCAGCAAUAUUAACUCUUGAACAAUGAAGACAUAUUGCUGCUCAGAGGAUGUAUUCUAACCCUGUAUUAUGCAACAAUGGCUAAAGCUCUUGUUAAGUAAACAGCUGUUAAUGCUAAUGUUGGCUAUGUAGCGAUAGCAAGAACUUACAGGCAGCACCUUUAAUCAUGACCUUUGACCCAUCUUUGAGGGAGCAAAUUGACAUCAUAUUUUAGACUAGGCAGGCACAGAGGAGUGAUCAUCUCAAGCUUGGCACAAUGAAGGGAUCGGAGGAUUCCCCCCAAAUCAAUCACUAAGCAAAACUUAGUCAAUAUAGGCUACUGGAUGAUGACAUAAGAUGAUACUAAAGAUGAUCCUGUUCAACAUAAUUAGAUGUGAGAAGAGAUGUAACCAUAAAUAGACUGUCAGUCUGUCAGAGGCUGAUGGCUGAUGUUAAACUUCCCUGCAUCAAAUAUUAAACAAAACCUAAUUAAAUAUGGAUGGAAAUAAAAAGAUGGACUGUAGAGCUGUCAACUUGAAUUGUUUCACGGCGGGUGUUUAGAGUUAGAGAGGUCAAACACAGCUCAGU